rnacentral:rRNA from 1 species
UUUCCUCCCGCAAACACUUCUCCUUCUCCCUUUCGCAUCCAAUCUUCUUUUCCCUCUCCCCUAUAAAUUUCCCCUAUAUAAUAUAAUAAUGUGUCCCUUUUCUUCCCCGGCCUUUCCCUUUUCCAUAAUCAAUUAUCAGAACCUUCCUCUUCCUCAGCCCUUUACGUUUUUAUUCAAAAUAUUUUCAAAAAAAUCCCCUUUUAUAUUUGUCUCUUAUCUCCUAAUGCCUUACUUUUGCAUCCGCUUUCCAAGAGACGGACAGCAUUUAAUUUUGACAUGUUGCAACGGCGUAGGAUGUGCCUUACAGAAUAACAAAAA